AAUGGGUCAGCGACUUAUAUUCUGUAGCAAGGUUAACCGAAUAGGGGAGCCGAAGGGAAACCGAGUCUUAACUGGGCGUUAAGUUGCAGGGUAUAGACCCGAAACCCGGUGAUCUAGCCAUGGGCAGGUUGAAGGUUGGGUAACACUAACUGGAGGACCGAACCGACUAAUGUUGAAAAAUUAGCGGAUGACUUGUGGCUGGGGGUGAAAGGCCAAUCAAACCGGGAGAUAGCUGGUUCUCCCCGAAAGCUAUUUAGGUAGCGCCUCGUGAAUUCAUCUCCGGGGGUAGAGCACUGUUUCGGCAAGGGGGUCAUCCCGACUUACCAACCCGAUGCAAACUGCGAAUACCGGAGAAUGUUAUCACGGGAGACACACGGCGGGUGCUAACGUCCGUCGUGAAGAGGGAAACAACCCAGACCGCCAGCUAAGGUCCCAAAGUCAUGGUUAAGUGGGAAACGAUGUGGGAAGGCCCAGACAGCCAGGAUGUUGGCUUAGAAGCAGCCAUCAUUUAAAGAAAGCGUAAUAGCUCACUGGUCGAGUCGGCCUGCGCGGAAGAUGUAACGGGGCUAAACCAUGCACCGAA
rnacentral:rRNA from 1 species